GGCGAAAGGGUGAGGAAUGCUUGGGUAACUUGCCUCGAAGACUGGGAUAACGUGCCGAAAGGCGCGCUAAUACCAGAUAAGACCACGAUAUCUACGGAUUUCGUGGUAAAAGUUGGCCUCUAUUUAUACGCUUUUGCUUCGAGAUAGGCCCAAGUCUUAUUAGCUAGUUGGUAGGGUAACGGCCUACCAAGGCAAUGAUGAGUAGCUGGUCUGAGAGGAUGGUCAGCCACACUGGGACUGAGACACUGCCCAGACUCCUACGGGAGGCUGCAGUCGAGAAUCUUUCGCAAUGGGGGAAACCCUGACGAAGCGACGCCGCGUGUGUGAUGAAGGUUUUCGGAUUGUAAAACACUGUCACGAGGGACGAAAAAUAUAGUGGCUAAUACUCACUAUACCUGACGGUACCUCGAGAGGAAGCCCCGGCUAACUCCGUGCCAGCAGCCGCGGUAAUACGGAGGGGGCAAGCGUUGUUCGGAUUUACUGGGUGUAAAGGGUUCGUAGGCGGCAUAGUAAGUGAGAUGUGAAAUCUCUGGGCUCAACCCAGAAACUGCAUUUCAUACUGCUAAGCUAGAGUACCGCA
rnacentral:rRNA from 1 species